GGUAUGGGAUGAGCUUGCGUCCGAUUAGCUAGUUGGCGGGGCAACGGCCCACCAAGGCGACGAUCGGUAGCCGGCCUGAGAGGGUGAUCGGCCACAUUGGGACUGAGAUACGGCCCAGACUCCUACGGGAGGCAGCAGUAGGGAAUAUUGCACAAUGGGGGAAACCCUGAUGCAGCAACGCCACGUGUGGGAAGAAGCAUUUCGGUGUGUAAACCACUGUCAUGAGGGAAUAAGGCCCGCCUUCGGGCGGGAUUGAAUGUACCUUGAGAGGAAGCACCGGCAAACUUCGUGCCAGCAGCCGCGGUAAUACGAGGGGUGCAAGCGUUGUUCGGAAUUACUGGGCGUAAAGGGAGCGUAGGCGGAGAUUCAAGCGGAUUGUACAAUCCCGGGGCCCAACCCCGGUUCUGCAGUCCGAACUGGAUCUCUUGGAUAGUUCAGGGGCAGGC
rnacentral:rRNA from 1 species